GGCCGGGUAGCUCAGUCGGUAGAGCAGAGGACUGAAAAUCCUCGUGUCGGCAGUUCGAUUCUGCCCCCGGCCACCA
rnacentral:tRNA from 1 species